UGAAUUGCCAAUGGGCGCAAGCCNGAAGUCAACCGCCCUAGNGGNNAANAUGAAGGCCUUCGUUUCCGUAAAGCUCUGUCCUCAAGGAAGAUAAUGACGGUACUUGAGGAGGAAGCCCCGGCUAACUACGUGCCAGCAGCCGCGGUAAUAAAAUA
rnacentral:rRNA from 1 species